CACGAGCUCCAAACUGCCUUGCCAAACACAUAGACAAGCUACAAGAUCUGGAUCCAUUAAUUAACAUCCAUCCUCUCAACUUGUGCACAUGAAGAGAUUCUUAUUUGAGCUCAGCAAUGUCCUUCAAUUUGUCAUAUUUCUUAUAAAAAAGAGAAAAUAUAGAAAUAAACCCAAAAAAAAAUGAUCUGUAAGAAGGGAUAAAAGUG
rnacentral:lncRNA from 1 species